rnacentral:rRNA from 1 species
AGAAUCAACGCUGGCGGCGUGCCUAACACAUGCAAGUCGAACGAGAAAGUGGAGCAAUCCAUGAGUAAAGUGGCGUACGGGUGAGUAACACGUGACUAACCUACCCUCGAGUGGGGAAUAACCUCGGGAAACCGGGGCUAAUACCGCAUAACAUCUACGGAUCAAAUGCGUAAGCAGCUUGAGGAGGGGGUCGCGGCCGAUUAGCUAGUUGGCGGGGUAAUGGCCCACCAAGGCAAUGAUCGGUAGCCGGCCUGAGAGGGCGCACGGCCACACUGGAACUGAAACACGGUCCAGACUCCUACGGGAGGCAGCAGUGGGGAAUUUUGCGCAAUGGGGGAAACCCUGACGCAGCAACGCCGCGUGGAGGAUGAAGCCCCUUGGGGUGUAAACUCCUUUCGAUCGGGACGAUUAUGACGGUACCGGAUGAAGAGCACCGGCUAACUCUGCGCCAGCAGCCGC